AGCAACUCGAGCGGCUAGCGAAGUUAUGAGCUCCACAGUUUCCCACAUUGCAGUACCAGUCUCCUGGCCUCACAUCUGGCCCCGUGAAACCAAAUACUGACAAGUUCAUCCCCCCUCUGGCGCCAAAGCUUCCAAAAUCACCACCAUAGCCACCACUGCCACCACCACCACCACCAAAGCUCCCAAAAUCACCAACAUAGCCGCCGCCACCUCCAUGCUUAGAAUCACCACAUCUUUGGCAGGAGUCCCUCCUUUGGAAGUUCAAAUGCUGGCAUGAUCUACAGUUCCAAUCUCCUGGCCUGCUCAUCUUACUUUCCCUUCACUAAAACAU
rnacentral:lncRNA from 1 species